CUCUCUCUCUCUCUCUCUCUCUCUCACACACACACACACACACACACACACACACACACUCUCUCUCUCUCUCACACACACACACACACACUCACACACACACUCUCACAGAGCUUACACACACACUCACUCACACUUUCUCUCACACACACAUACACAGAGCUUACAAACAGACACACUCUCAGAGCUUACACACACCCACUCUGCGGAGACAUUUAAACCCCGUCACAGCUUACAUACACACACACACUCACUGCUGGAGUGUGAGAGGAAACACGCGACUAUGAGAUGAAAGAUCUAGAACUUGACAUGAAUCAGGAAUACAGUGAAACGUCACCGAGCUCGUGCGCUUAAAGUUACACCAGACUGAUGAUGAUGAUGAAGAUGGCCGAGCAUGUUCAAUUAGCUGUCCAUGUAAAUCAUUUGUCAUGCACAGUAAGACAGAUGGAGAUGUUCCUCCACACGUGCUGAGCAGGAACUUGGGUGGAGCGGAUGGGAUUGAGGAACUUCAUCAUCCAGAUUCAUCCGCAUGGGGCUCGUUUACAACACAUCCAGCUUCAAAGCUCCGUGAGACAAGAGACGAGACAAGAAGAGAAGAGAUCUACUGCUCGACAUGUCCAUGGAUAGGAUCUGAUCAUCUGUUCAACCACAUCUUCAUGGAUGAGCGUACACACUUCAUUACAGGGUUCCUGUGAUGUUCCUCUGCAGAUAUAAGCAGUUUGUUUUUUAGAAGCAAUAGAUUUGGUCUGACUUACAAAUGGAGGUUCAAGUGUUGGUGUUGGUGUUGGUGUUGGUGUGUUUGGAGUGUGUGUGGACGGAGGACAGGAUUCCCCCCUCAGACAGACAUGCCGUUUACUGGAACAGCACCAAUACCAGGUUCUGGCACGGGGAUUACACCGUCGCCGUCAACAUCAAUGACUAUCUGGACGUGUUCUGUCCGUACUACGAGGAGCCUCAGCCGCCCAGCCGGAUGGAGCGCUACAUCCUGUUCAUGGUGAACCACGAAGGCUAUGCUAGCUGUGAACACCGCAUGAGGGGCUUCAAACGAUGGGAGUGUAACCGGCCGCAGAACGCUGACGGCCCACUGCGCUUCUCUGAGAAGUUCCAGCUCUUCACUCCGUUCUCACUCGGCUUCGAGUUCCGUCCCGGACACGAGUACUACUACAUCUCAUCCCCUCACCCCAAUCACGUUGGAAAGCCCUGUUUGAAGCUGAAGGUUUAUGUAAAACCAGCAGAUGGUUCGGCCUUCGAGUCACCGGAGCCGUUCCUGAUUGACCGCAGCUCCACUAACGAUCUUCAGUCCUGUGUGUUGAUGCUGUCGGCGGCCGUGUCGGUCCUGGUGAUGACGCGUGUGUAGGCUUUACAGUUUUAUUCCCUCCUUUUGCCCCUCAGGGAAGUGUUUCUGCCCUCCAUCUGCCCCACACAUGUGUGUGUUUUUUCUUUUCUUUCUCCAACAUGUUAAUGGCAUUACAUCUGAGAACGAGUUCAGUUCAGAAGAAACUCAAAUGAAACAGUUUUCUGAUUCCUCACCUGGACUCUGAGUGUCGUUUCCUUCCGACUGAUGACACCAAAGGACUUCGAGGUUUUUGUUUUGGAGGAUUUGAGAACCAGCAGCACCACUGAACACUAGCUGUAGACUUAUUCACUUGCAUGUGAAACACUGUGAGGAGAAAAGAAUUCUUACAAUAUUAAUAUUAAUACUAUAUUUUUAUGGCUGAACAAUCAGACGCUGUGUCAAAACUACAGAUGUUGUUGAGUCAGAAAAAAGAAAAUGAUUGUGUUUCGUCUGUUUAACGUGAAAAUCUCCAUGGAGAUGAAAAACACUGAGGUUUUUUUGUAUUAUGUUUCAUGUUAUUUUUGUAGCAUUUAAAAGCAUUAAUUAUUUAUGUGACAUGGGGAAAGGUUUUUAGUGUCUCGUGUGAUGGUGAAUCAGCAGCCCAGAGAAACUUGCCCUCCUUCAGCAUCUGGCUGACUUUAAACUCUCACAUUACAGUAAAAGCCCCGUCUUUUAUCCCAGUUUGUAAAAUUAUCCUCUUACUUUAAUCUGAUGGACUGAUCACUGUUCAUGUCUUAUGAAGGGCACAAAGUGUUCAAAGUCCUGAGAUAUCAGCACACGCCUUUCCUCAGAACUGUGAACAUUCAGGAUGUCUGAAAAGAGACACGCCCACCUGCUGAUGCCCCCCGCAUGCCCUCUCAGAGACGAACCCACCUGCCAACACCCCCACAUGCCCUCUAAGUCACACCCACCUGCCAAUGCCCCCCACAUGCCCUCCCAGAGAGACACCCACCUGCCAAUGCCCUCCCAGAGACACGCCCACCUGCUGACGCCCCCCGCAUGCCCUCUAAGUCACACCCACCUGCCAAUGCCCCCACAUGCCCUCUCAGAGACGAACCCACCUGCCAACACCCCCACAUGCCCUCUAAGUCACACCCACCUGCCAAUGCCCCCCACAUGCCCUCCCAGAGAGACACCCACCUGCCAAUGCCCUCCCAGAGACACGCCCACCUGCUGAUGCCCCCCGCAUGCCCUCUAAGUCACACCCACCUGCCAAUGCCCCCACAUGCCCUCUCAGAGACGAACCCACCUGCCAACACCCCCACAUGCCCUCUAAGUCACACCCACCUGCCAAUGCCCCCCACAUGCCCUCCCAGAGAGACACCCACCUGCCAAUGCCCUCCCAGAGACACACCCACCUGCCAACACCCCACACAUGCACUCUCAGACACACCCACUUGCCGAUGCCCCCACAUGCCCUUUCAGAGACACUCCCACUUGCCGAUGCCCCUACAUGCCCUCUAAGUUAGACCUACCUGCCGACACCCACACAUGCCCUCUCAGAGACACACCCACUUGGCGACGCCCCCACAUGCACUCUCAGAGACACACCCACUUUCCAACACCCCCCACAUGCCCUCUAUGUCACACCCACCUGCCAAUGCCCCCACAUGCCCUCUCAGAGACACACCCACCUGCCAAUGCCCCCCACAUGUCCUCCCAGAGGCACACCCACCUGCCAAUGCCCUCUCAGAGACACACCCACUUGCCGACACCCCACAUGGACUCUCAGAGACACGCCCAUUUUCCGACACCCCCGCAUACACUCUGAGACACACUCACUUGCAGACACCCCCACAUGCACUUUCAGAGACACCCACCAGCAGCCGAUCCCACAUGCCCU